UACGAAGGGGGCUAGCGUUGCUCGGAAUCACUGGGCGUAAAGGGUGCGUAGGUGGCGAGGAAAGUCGGAUGUGAAAGCUCGGAGCUCAACUCCGAAAUGGCAUUGGAAACUACCUUGCUCGAGGGUUGGAGGGGGGACUGGAAUUCUCGGUGUAGCAGUGAAAUGCGUAGAUAUCGAGAGGAACACCAGUGGCGAAGGCGAGUCCCUGGACAACUCCUGACACUGAGGCACGAAAGCUAGGGGAGCAAACAGG
rnacentral:rRNA from 1 species